UACGUAGGGAGCAAGCGUUGUCCGGAAUCAUUGGGCGUAAAGCGCGCGUAGGUGGCCCCAUAAGUCCGCUGUGAAAGUCAAAGGCUCAACCUUUGAAAGCCGGUGGAUACUGUGGGACUAGAGUACGGAAGAGGCGAGUGGAAUUCCUGGUGUAGCGGUGGAAUGCGCAGAUAUCAGGGGGAACACCAAUAGCGAAGGCAGCUCGCUGGGACGUUACUGACACUGAGGCACGAAAGCGUGGGGAGCAAACAGG
rnacentral:rRNA from 1 species